GUGUGCACCACCACACCUGGCUCUCAGGUUCCAGGCACCUGUGGACGAGCUGUCAGAAAAUCUCAACCUGUACAAAGACAACAGGGGACACCACAGACAAGAGGGAGAAGAUGUCACAGCCCCAAAACAUCGACCACGCCCUGAGCAUUGUCCCAGAAGAGGCCAUGCUGAAGAGAGAUCAUCUCAGACCCAAGCAGAAGAGCGGGCCGAUGUCCCUGGGGAAGAGGACAGCUGACUUAGCAAAGGACCUGAGCACCCAAGACUGGGCCACUUAAACUGUUCCCCUUAAUGUUCUUUUUUUUCUUUUGCAAUACUGGGGAUCAAACCCAAGGGCUCUCUACCAGUGAGCCACAGCCU